rnacentral:rRNA from 1 species
CUACGGGGGGCUCCAGUGAGGAAUAUUGGUCAAUGGGCGCAAGCCUGAACCAGCCAUGCCGCGUGAAGGAUGACGGCCCUAUGGGUUGUAAACUUCUUUUAUACGGGAAGAAACGCCUCUACGUGUAGAGGUUUGACGGUACCGUACGAAUAAGCAUCGGCUAACUCCGUGCCAGCAGCCGCGGUAAUACGGAGGAUGCAAGCGUUAUCCGGAUUUAUUGGGUUUAAAGGGUACGUAGGCGGAAGAUUAAGUCAGUAGUGAAAUCCUGCAGCUUAACUGUAGAACUGUUAUUGAUACUGGUUUUCUUGAAUGUAGUUGAGGUAGGCGGAAUAAGUAAUGUAGCGGUGAAAUGCUUAGAUAUUACUUAGAACACCGAUUGCGAAGACAGCUUACUAAGCUAUGAUUGACGCUGAGGUACGAAAGCGUGGGGAGCGAACAGGAUUAGAUACCCGAGUAGUC